rnacentral:rRNA from 1 species
GGGAAAGAGAAGCAGAUGAGAAAUGGGCAUAAAGCCUGCCUGACUGUGAGACCGACUGGUCGAACAGAGAUGAAAGUCGGCCAUAGU